GACCCCAGAAAACUUGCCUAGUUUUGGGUAGUGGAAUAGACUAAAAUCUGAUCCUGUGGCUGUAAAACUCUGAAGCUUGGGUUCUUCUCACUCUUCCACACUGGUAGAAUUCAUGCACUAUCACAAGACCCUGGUUCCAGAGCGGUCCUGCUUUACACCGAGGGAAAGGAAUGUCAUACAGAAAGGCCAAGAAGAAUCUGAAGAGAUGUCCAAUCACCUUUUCACGUGGCUGCCCAUUCUUCAUUGAACCUAAGCAUUAAAAUAGACAGUUUCCCCUGGGUCUUUGGGUCUUCAUUUCUGAAGACUCCAUGUCAUGUAAAACUUUGAUUAAAUAAAUGUAUCAUGC
rnacentral:lncRNA from 1 species